rnacentral:rRNA from 1 species
AAUACGGAGGAUCCGAGCGUUAUCCGGAUUUAUUGGGUUUAAAGGGUGCGCAGGCGGGAGAUUAAGUCGGCGGUGAAAUUUUGCAGCUCAACUGUAAAAGUGCCUUCGAAACUGGUUUUCUUGAGUGUAGAUGAAGUAGGCGGAAUUUGUGGUGUAGCGGUGAAAUGCAUAGAUAUCACGAGGAACUCCGAUUGCGCAGGCAGCUUACUAAACUACUACUGACGCUCAUGCACGAAGGCGUGGGGAUCAAACAGGAUUAGAUACCCUGGUAGUCCACGCAGUAAACGAUGAUUACUAGCUGUUUGCGAUACAAUGUAAGCGGCUGAGCGAAAGCGUUAAGUAAUCCACCUGGGGAGUACGUUCGCAAGAAUGAAACUCAAAGGAAUUGACGGGGGCCCGCACAAGCGGAGGAACAUGUGGUUUAAUUCGAUGAUACGCGAGGAACCUUACCCGGGCUUGAAAUGCAGCGGACCGGCAGAGAGAUCUGCCUUCCCUUCGGGGCCGCCGUGUAGGUGCUGCAUGGUUGUCGUCAGCUCGUGCCGUGAGGUGUCGGCUUAAGUGCCAUAACGAGCGCAACCCUCAUCAUUAGUUACCAUCAGGUGAAGCUGGGGACUCUAAUGAGACUGCCAUCGUAAGAUGCGAGGAAGGUGGGGAUGACGUCAAAUCAGCACGGCCCUUACGUCCGGGGCGACACACGUGUUACAAUGGGUGGUACAAAGGGCAGCUACAUGGCGACAUGAUGCUAAUCUCCAAAACCACUCUCAGUUCGGAUCGGAGUCUGCAACUCGACUCCGUGAAGCUGGAUUCGCUAGUAAUCGCGCAUCAGCCACGGCGCGGUGAAUACGUUCCCGGGCCUUGUACACACCGCCCGUCAAGCCAUGGAAGCCGGGGGUACCUGAAGUCCGUAACCGUCAAGGAGCGGCCUAGGGUAAAACUGGUGACUGGGGCUAAGUCGUAACAAGGUAGCCGUACCGGAAGGUGCGGCUG